CUGCAGCAAUGCAGAGUGGCAGACGGGUGAGUAACGCGUGGGAACCUUCCCAGUGGUACGGAAUAGCUCAGGGAAACUUGAGGUAAUACCGUAUAAGCCCCUAGGGGGAAAGAUUUAUCGCCAUUGGAUGGGCCCGCGUCGGAUUAGCUAGUUGGUGAGGUAACGGCUCACCAAGGCAACGAUCCGUAGCUGGUUUGAGAGAAUGACCAGCCACACUGGGACUGAGACACGGCCCAGACUCCUACGGGAGGCAGCAGUGGGGAAUCUUGGACAAUGGGCGCAAGCCUGAUCCAGCCAUGCCGCGUGAGUGACGAAGGCCUUAGGGUUGUAAAGCUCUUUUGGCGGGGACGAUAAUGACGGUACCCGCAGAAUAAGUCCCGGCUAACUUCGUGCCAGCAGCCGCGGUAAUACGAAGGGGACUAGCGUUGUUCGGAAUUACUGGGCGUAAAGCGCACGUAGGCGGAUUUGUAAGUCAGGGGUGAAAUCCCGGGGCUCAACCUCGGAACUGCCUUUGAUACUGCAAAUCUCGAGUCCGAUAGAGGUGGGUGGAAUUCCUAGUGUAGAGGUGAAAUUCGUAGAUAUUAGGAAGAACACCGGUGGCGAAGGCGGCCCACUGGAUCGGUACUGACGCUGAGGUGCGAAAGCGUG
rnacentral:rRNA from 1 species